rnacentral:rRNA from 1 species
AACUAUUAAUGGUGGAUCACUUGGCUCUCGCAUCGAUGAAGAACGCAGCGAAUUGCGAAAAUUGUCGUGACUUGCAUCAUCGUGAAUCAUCGAGUUUUCGAACGCACAUUGCACUUUACACUUGUGUAAAGUAUGUCUGUUUGAGCAUCAUUA